rnacentral:rRNA from 1 species
UACGAAGGGUGCAAACGUUAUUCGGAAUCACUGGGCGUAAAGGGUGCGUAGACGGCAUGUUAAGUUCGUUGUUAAAGGCUCCGGCCUAACCGGAGUACCGCGAUGAAAACUGGCGUACUAGAGGGUGAGAGAGAUAAGUGGAAUUCCUGGAGUAGCGGUAAAAUGCGUGGAUCUCAGGAGGAACACCAAUGGCGAAGGCAGCUUCUUGGCUCAUUCCUGACGUUGAGGCACGAAAGCGUGGGAGCAAACAGG